rnacentral:rRNA from 1 species
CGGGACGGGUGAGUAACGCGUGGGUAACCUGCCUCAUACAGGGGAUAACAGUUAGAAAUGGCUGCUAAUACCGCAUAAGCGCACAGGACCGCAUGGUCUGGUGUGAAAAACUCCGGUGGUAUGAGAUGGACCCGCGUCUGAUUAGCUAGUUGGAGGGGUAACGGCCCACCAAGGCGACGAUCAGUAGCCGGCCUGAGAGGGUGAACGGCCACAUUGGGACUGAGACACGGCCCAG